UAAUACGGAGGGUGCAAGCGUUAUCCGGAUUCACUGGGUUUAAAGGGAGCGCAGGAGGGCAGGGAAGUCAGUGGUGAAAUCCCGGGGCUUAACCCCGGAACUGCCGUUGAUACUCUCUGUCUUGAAUGCCGUGGAGAGGAGCGGAAUAUGUCAUGUAGCGGUGAAAUGCUUAGAGAUGACAUAGAACACCAAUUGCGAAGGCAGCUCCUUACACGGAACAUUGACUCUGAGGCUCGAAAGCGUGGGGAUCAAACAGGAUUAGAUACCCUGGUAGUCCACGCCCUAAACGAUGGAUACUCGACGUGCGCGAUACACGGUGCGCGUCUGAGCGAAAGCAUUAAGUAUCCCACCUGGGAAGUACGACCGCAAGGUU
rnacentral:rRNA from 1 species